UCCGGAGGGUGCGAGCGUUGUCCGGAAUCAUUGGGCGUAAAGGGCGCGUAGGUGGCCCGGUCAGUUCGUGGUGAAAGCGCGGGGCUCAACCCUGCGUCGGCCAUGAAUACUGCCGCGGCUGGAGCACUGUAGAGGCAGGCGGAAUUCCGGGUGUAGCGGUGGAAUGCGUAGAGAUCCGGAAGAACACCGGUGGCGAAGGCGGCCUGCUGGGCAGUUGCUGACACUGAGGCGCGACAGCGUGGGGAGCAAACAGG
rnacentral:rRNA from 1 species